CGUGCGAAAAUUGCUUUUUUUAUGUUUUCUUGGAUGCAGAGAACGGUUAAAGUGGCUUUAUGUCGGGCCGUCCAACGAUUAUCCGAUAACAGGUUAAAUUUACAUAUUCCGUAAUAAAUCCGUUCCGUUAAAUAUUUGUCAUGAGGAACCCGGCUAUGAAAAAAGGUUCAAGAUUGAAGAUUAAAUGCUUUUCCUGAUCACUCUUUUGAUUUUUAGUGAUGAUCUGAAUCGAGUGGAUAGGCAAUCCAUCAUUGAGGGAGUACGAGCUUGUCAGAAUCAAAAUGGAUCUUUCAUAGCCAUGGUCGAAUGCGAAAACGACAUGAGAUUCCUCUAUUGCCUCUAUUGCCUCUAUUGCCUAUUCCUCAUGUGUAUCAGCGAUUUUAGACUGAUUAGGUGUGGAUAUAUCCAAGUGCUAUAGACUAUAUUUUAAGAAGCAUUUCAUACAAUAUUGGCGAUAUUGAGCAAGGACCACGUCGAAUCUCAUGGAGGCUCCACGUUUUGUGGCUGUGGCAUAUUGAACAUAUUGGCGAAAUUUAACAACACUCGGCCUGAUCCUUUACACACAUAUUUAGAUAAAUGCAUAAAAUUACGAUUUUAUUCUGUAUUUGAAUUUAAAGAUCUCUGAUAUAUA
rnacentral:misc_RNA from 1 species